GACGAACGCUGGCGGCGUGCCUAAUACAUGCAAGUAGGACGCAGUUGCGAACGGUUGAGUAACGCGUCGGUAACUGCCUAUUAGAGGGGUAUAACUAUUGGAAACGAUAGCUAAUACCGCAUACUAGUAGCUGUACCUGCGUUGUAUUAGCUAGUAGGUAGGGUAAUGGGCUACCUAGUCGACGAUAGAUAGCCGACGUGGCGGGUGUAUCGGCCAGACUGGGACUGAGACAAGGGCCAGACUCCCCCGGGAGGCAGCAGUAGGGACUCUUGGGCAAUGGGGGGAACGCUGAACGAGCAAAGCCGGGGGAGUGAAGAAGGUGUUCGGAUCGUAAAGCUCGGUUGUCAAGGAAGCGGUACUUAACCAGAAAGGGACGGCUAACUACGUGCCAGCAGCCGCGGUAAUUC
rnacentral:rRNA from 1 species